GAUGAACGCUGGCGGCGUGCUUAACACAUGCAAGUCGAACGGAAAGGCCCAAGCUUGCUUGGGUACUCGAGUGGCGAACGGGUGAGUAACACGUGGGUGAUCUGCCCUGCACUUCGGGAUAAGCCUGGGAAACUGGGUCUAAUACCGGAUAGGACCACAUUUUGGAUGGUGUGGUGGAAAGUUUUUCGGUGUGGGAUGAGCUCGCGGCCUAUCAGCUUGUUGGUGGGGUAAUGGCCUACCAAGGCGUCGACGGGUAGCCGGCCUGAGAGGGUGUACGGCCACAUUGGGACUGAGAUACGGCCCAGACUCCUACGGGAGGCAGCAGGGGGGAAUAUUGCACAAUGGGCGCAAGCCUGAUGCGGCGAAGCCGCGUGGGGGAUGACGGCCUUCGGGUUGUAAACACCUUUCGCUAGGGACGAAGCGUUAUGUGACGGUACCUGGAGAAGAAGCACCGGCUAACUACGUG
rnacentral:rRNA from 1 species